rnacentral:rRNA from 1 species
CGAAAGCCUGACGGAGCAAGACCGCGUGGGGGAAGAAGGCUCUUGGGUUGUAAACCCCUUUUCUCUGGGAGGAAUGACGGUACCAGAGGAAUCAGCAUCGGCUAACUCCGUGCCAGCAGCCGCGGUAAGACGGAGGAUGCAAGCGUUAUCCGGAAUGAUUGGGCGUAAAGCGUCCGCAGGUGGCAGUUCAAGUCUGCUGUCAAAGACCGGGGCUCAACCUCGGAAAGGCAGUGGAAACUGAACAGCUAGAGUAUGGUAGGGGCAGAGGGAAUUCCUGGUGUAGCGGUGAAAUGCGUAGAGAUCAGGAAGAACAUCGGUGGCGAAGGCGCUCUGCUGGACCAUAACUGACACUCAGGGACGAAAGCUAGGGGAGCGAAUGGGAUU